GGGACAGUAAGCAUAACAGGUACUGCGGCGGAUUGCUAAUCCGUUCACCGAUGGAUUCCGGUGUGCAGGUUCGAGUCCUGCCUGUUCCGCCA
rnacentral:tRNA from 1 species